CCAAACUACAGACUAAGUUUUUUUAAAGUUACCUCUCUGAUCAGCAUUUCAGGAUUACUAUGAAGAUCAAAUUAAAUUACAUGUGGCAGUGUCUAGCUUGGAGUUUGGUGUAUAUUGAUGUCAAUUGCAUAUUCCUAAUUCAUACUUUCUUCUCUCCGUUUCAUAAAUAUUUGUUUUCCAGGUAUCACAGAAAGAAUUGAAAGGCAAGGUUGUCAGACAGAUAUGGCAGCUAAGACACCAACUGAGGAAUGUUAUCAAUGUAGCUCCGUGAAAUUGCCAUAUUUUACAUCCUGCAGUUCUGCAGUCAAGUGGUGGUAUUUUUGUCACAGCCCACAUCAAAGCCCAGAUGGCAUGAGGGAGGGAUGGAAAUGGGGCUCCAUAACCCUCAGGAACUCUGAAGAUUUCAUCUCCUAAGUGGAGCCAGAAUCCAGACGCUGGGAAAUGUGAAUGUUCCAAUAUGGCUGACCAUCAUGGAAUGGGAUCAACAGAUGGAAAUAGGAGGCUUCAUCUUCUUCAUCUUGGUCCUGAGGCUCCAUCAGCCAGGUUUCCAGCACACAUUAAACCCAGGUAUAACAACGACAUGGCCCAGAUUUUUCAAUCUUCAUUUCAAAAGU
rnacentral:lncRNA from 1 species